GUGCCAGCCGCCGCGGUAACACGUAGAGUGCAAGCGUUGUCCGGAAUCAUUGGGCGUAAAGGGUACGCAGGCGGAUAGGCAAGUCAGACGUGAAAGGUGUCGGCUUAACCGACAGACUGCGUUUGAAACUGUUUAUCUUGAGUGCAGUAGAGGAGAGCGGAAUUCCUAGUGUAGCGGUGAAAUGCGUAGAUAUUAGGAAGAACACCAGUGGCGAAGGCGGCUCUCUGGACUGCAACUGACGCUGAGGUACGAAAGCCGGGGGAGCGAACGGGAUUAGAAACCCCUAGUCC
rnacentral:rRNA from 1 species